rnacentral:rRNA from 1 species
GACGAACGCUGGCGGCGUGCUUAACACAUGCAAGUCGAACGCGCCUGUCCUCUGGGUUUCUGGGGGGUGGGUGAGUGGCGAACGGGUGAGUAACACGUGAGUAACCUGCCCCCUUCUUCGGGAUAACGGUCUGAAAGGGCUGCUAAUACCGGGUAUUCACUGGUCUCCGCAUGGGGUCUGGUGGAAAGGUUUUUUUUUGGUGGGGGAUGGGCUCGCGGCCUAUCAGCUUGUUGGUGGGGUGAUGGCCCACCAAGGCUUUGACGGGUAGCCGGCCUGAGAGGGUGACCGGUCACAUUGGGACUGAGAUACGGCCCAGACUCCUACGGGAGGCAGCAGUGGGGAAUAUUGCACAAUGGGCGCAAGCCUGAUGCAGCGACGCCGCGUGAGGGAUGGAGGCCUUCGGGUUGUGAACCUCUUUCGCCCGUGGUCAAGCCGCGACGUGGGUCGUGGUGAGGGUAGUGGGUAAAGAAGCGCCGGCUAACUACGUG